AACGAACGCUGGCGGCAUGCCUAACACAUGCAAGUCGAACGGGAUCCGGACUUCGGUUCGGUGAGAGCGGCGGACGGGUGAGUAACGCGUGGGAACCUGCCCAGUGGUGGGGGAUAACUGCGGGAAACUGCAGCUAAUACCGCAUGAGCCCGAGAGGGGAAAGAUUUAUCGCCAUUGGAGGGGCCCGCGUUCGAUUAGGUAGUUGGUGAGGUAAUGGCUCACCAAGCCGACGAUCGAUAGCUGGUCUGAGAGGAUGAUCAGCCACACUGGGACUGAGAUACGGCCCAGACUCCUACGGGAGGCAGCAGUGGGGAAUAUUGGACAAUGGGGGCAACCCUGAUCCAGCAAUGCCGCGUGAGUGAUGAAGGCCUUCGGGUUGUAAAGCUCUUUUGCCAGGGACGAUGAUGACGGUACCUGGAGAAUAAGCCCCGGCUAACUUCGUGCCAGCCGCCGCGGUAACAC
rnacentral:rRNA from 1 species